GUGAAUUAUUUCACUUUUAUGAAUUGUGCUUCUACACAGUUUCUGUGCAGCUCUGUUGAAUAGGGUGCAUAUUUGGUGAUGGUGUUGUGGUUUUCAACAAUAUGAAAGUUGCUGUUAAUACUAAAUGAGGCCGUCAGUCUUCCUGAUGCACAACCCGCACAAUAGCUCCCACUGCUCACAUCACAAUGACGGUUUUUAUCUUUUACAAUUCAUUUCCUCUGGGAGUGUACAUUGUUAUUGCAUCAUGAAUAAGGUACAAUAUGAAUGAACAAAAGCCCAACACUCGAAGGGUGAAGGGUCACGUUGUUCCCAGUCAAUGCUGUUUAAACCUAAAUUCACACUAUUAUUUUUGCAUAAGGGCCUACCACCAGGUCUUAGACACUCCUCUGUUUUUCUACCAAUUUGCCUGCAGGACAAACUACCUAGCCAUUCCCUCUGAGCAGAAAGACAACCCAGACGCUCCUGUUACCAAAUAAAAGCAGUUGUCAAUAACACGGUAUUAAUCAUGAUGGGCUUCGGUGUCAUGUGACUGAAAAUAUAUACCACAACCUCAUCUUUGCCACUAUGAAAGUACGACUUUCUCAGACAGGAAUCCUGCCAGCCGACCGCCCCUGUGUAUCGACUGUGUUAUGCUAAGAGUGAAUAAUGUCCAAGUGCUUCAUUUUUCUCCUUCUGUUCCACUUUCUUUUGGUUUACCUUCGGUCCAGGUUUCUGAAAAUAAGUUCUUUCACAAAAACAGAAGGUUAAGGAACAAAAAUGUAAGUGUCCUGCACUUAUCAUCAAAUAAAUAUCAGCCAGUGUGUAGAAUUAGGGAAUAUUUUCUUAGUAGUUAGUGGCGCCUCCGUGAUUUCUCAUGUUUUUUUAAGGAAAAUGGUUUGCAUAGCUUUUAUACUGUAUGGCUGUGCAUCUUCCCUGUUUUGCUGUGUGUGUAAUGGAAAAAAUGAAAAAUGAAAGACGUUGAAUUGACUCUUAUUUCAGUUCAUUUGAAUUAAUCAGGAGAUCUUUCCUGUAGUUUUCUUCCUCUGAAUAAAUCUUGUAUGCAUGUUCAGCACAAGUUAUUGCAAGCAAUUUCUCUAAAAGCUUUGACUGUUGCUGGUGGUCUACAAAUCAUUGCUAUUGAGACUGAAUGUGUGCCUACUUUUAUAGUACAACAACACUGAAGAAGUGUUUUAAAAUGCUUGAUUCAAUCAUACCACGCUGUUCUUUGUCCGUUACAGAUAUGUGUGUAUGAGCUGCUAUUGAACGAUUAAAUUCAAUGCAUUUCACAUCCUGUGUUCAAUCUC